AGAGUUUGAUCAUGGCUCAGAGUGAACGCUGGCGGCGUGCUUAACACAUGCAAGUCGAACGAGAACGGGCCUUAGCUUGCUAAGGCUGUCAGCUAAGUGGCGGACGGGUGAGUAAUGUAUAGUUAAUCUGCCCUUUAGAGGGGGAUAACAGUUGGAAACGACUGCUAAUACCCCAUACUCCUUCUAUGUUAAUCAUAGUUGGGAAAUGUUUUUUCGCUAAAGGAUGAGACUAUAUGGUAUCAGGUAGUUGGUGGGGUAAGAGCCUACCAAGCCAAUGACGCCUAGCUGGUCUGAGAGGAUGAUCAGCCACACUGGAACUGAGACACGGUCCAGACUCCUACGGGAGGCAGCAGUGGGGAAUAUUGCACAAUGGAGGAAACUCUGAUGCAGCAACGCCGCGUGGAGGAUGACGCAUUUCGGUGUGUAAACUCCUUUUAUAUGGGAAGAUAAUGACGGUACCAUAUGAAUAAGCACCGGCUAACUCCGUGCCAGCAGCCGCGGUAAUACGGAGGGUGCAAGCGUUACUCGGAAUCACUGGGCGUAAAGCGCGCGCAGGCGGCCUUGUAAGUUGGAUGUGAAAGCCUACGGCUCAACCGUAGAACUGCAUCCAAAACUACUAGGCUAGAGUGUGGGAGAGGAAGAUGGAAUUAGUUGUGUAGGGGUAAAAUCCGUAGAGAUAACUAGGAAUACCAAAAGCGAAGGCAAUCUUCUGGAACAUUACUGACGCUGAGGCGCGAAAGCGUGGGGGAGCAAACAGGAUUAGAUACCCUGGUAGUCCACGCCCUAAACGAUGAAUGUUAGUCGUCGGGUAGCUAGUCUAUUCGGUGAUGCAGCUAACGCAUUAAACAUUCCGCCUGGGGAGUACGGUCGCAAGAUUAAAACUCAAAGGAAUAGACGGGGACCCGCACAAGUGGUGGAGCAUGUGGUUUAAUUCGAAGAUACGCGAAGAACCUUACCUAGCCUUGACAUAUUUUUAGAACACUUUAGAGAUAG
rnacentral:rRNA from 1 species